UACGUAGGGUCCGAGCGUUGUCCGGAGUUACUGGGCGUAAAGCGCGCGCAGGCGGCGGUGCUGGCCCGGCGUGAAAGCCCCCCGGCUCAACCGGGGAGGGUCGUCGGGGACCGCACCGCUUGAGGGCGGUAGGGGCUGGUGGAAUGCCUGGUGUAGUGGUGAAAUGCGUAGAGAUCAGGCGGAACACCCGUGGCGAAGGCGGCCAGCUGGGCCGUCCCUGACGCUGAGAAGCGAAAGCAUGGGGAGCGAACAGG
rnacentral:rRNA from 1 species